AUGCUCCUUCAGAGGCACGUAAACUAAAAUCGGAACAACACAGAAAAGAUCAGCAUAGCACCUGUGCAAGGAUCAUAUGCAAAUACAUGAAGCGUUCCAUAUUUUU
ensembl:snRNA U6 U6 spliceosomal RNA